GUCCUUGCAUUUGUAGCACAUAUACUAAUAUUGGAACAAUAUAGAGGUUAACACACCUCUGUAUAAGGAUGAUAUACAAAUUUGAGAAGUGUUUCAUAUUUUU